CUACGGGACGCUGCAGUGAGGAAUUUUGCGCAAUGGGGGAAACCCUGACGCAGCAACGCCGCGUGAGUGAAGAAGGCUUUCGGGUCGUAAAGCUCUGUCAAGUGGGAAAAAAUGUCUAUAGUAAAUAGCUAUGGAACUUGAUGGUACCACUGGAGGAAGCACCGGCUAACUCCGUGCCAGCAGCCGCGGUAAUACGGAGGGUGCAAGCGUUGAUCGGAAUUACUGGGCGUAAAGGGCGCGUAGGCGGCCCUGUUAGUCAGAUGUGAAAGCCCCCGGCUCAACCGGGGAAGUGCAUCUGAAACUGCAGGGCUUGAAUAUGGGAGAGGAAAGUGGAAUUCCCGGUGUAGAGGUGAAAUUCGUAGAUAUCGGGAGGAACACCAGUGGCGAAGGCGACUUUCUGGACCAAUAUUGACGCUGAGGCGCGAAAGCGUGGGGAGCAAACAGGAUUAGAUACCCCAGUAGUC
rnacentral:rRNA from 1 species